rnacentral:rRNA from 1 species
AUUGAACGCUGGCGGCAUGCUUUACACAUGCAAGUCGAACGGUAACAGGCCGCAAGGUGCUGACGAGUGGCGAACGGGUGAGUAAUGCAUCGGAACGUGCCCAGUCGUGGGGGAUAACGCAGCGAAAGCUGCGCUAAUACCGCAUACGAUCUAUGGAUGAAAGCGGGGGACCGUAAGGCCUCGCGCGAUUGGAGCGGCCGAUGUCAGAUUAGGUAGUUGGUGGGGUAAAGGCUCACCAAGCCAACGAUCUGUAGCUGGUCUGAGAGGACGACCAGCCACACUGGGACUGAGACACGGCCCAGACUCCUACGGGAGGCAGCAGUGGGGAAUUUUGGACAAUGGGCGCAAGCCUGAUCCAGCAAUGCCGCGUGCAGGAAGAAGGCCUUCGGGUUGUAAACUGCUUUUGUACGGAACGAAAAGGCUCUGGUUAAUACCUGGGGCUCAUGACGGUACCGUAAGAAUAAGCACCGGCUAACUACGUGCCAGCAGCCGCCGUAAUAC